rnacentral:rRNA from 2 species
GUAGAACCGGUAACUGGGGCUAAGUCGUAACAAGGUAGCCGUACCGGAAGGUGCGGCUGGAACACCUCCUUUCUGGA